rnacentral:rRNA from 1 species
ACGGGAGGCAGCAGCUAAGAAUAUUCCGCAAUGGACGAAAGUCUGACGGAGCGACGCCGCGUGGAUGAUGAAGGUCGGAAGAUUGUAAAAUCCUUUUAUAACUGAGGAAUAAGCGUUAUCCGAGAAAGGUAAUGUGGUGACUGUAGGUUAUGAAUACGCAACGGCUACUUACGUGCCAGCAGCCGCGGUAACACGUAAGUUGCGAGCGUUGUUCGGAAUUAUUGGGCGUAAAGGGCAUGUAGGCGGUUCUGCAAGCUUGAUGUGAAAGGCAGGAGCUCAACUCCUGGACUGCGUUGAGAACUGCAGGACUAGAGUCACUGAGGGGCAAUCAGAAUUCCAGGUGUAGGGGUGAAAUCUGUAGAUAUCUGGAAGAAUACCAAUGGCGAAGGCAGGUUACCAGCAGAUGACUGACGCUGAGGUGCGAAAGCGCGGGGAGCAAACAGGAUUAGAUACCCUGGUA